GACGAACGCUGGCGGCGUGCUUAACACAUGCAAGUCGAACGGAAAGGCCCUGCUUUUGUGGGGUGCUCGAGUGGCGAAAGGGUGAGUAACACGUGAGUAACCUGCCCUUGACUUUGGGAUAACUUCAGGAAACUGGGGCUAAUACCGGAUAGGAGCUCCUGCUGCAUGGUGGGGGUUGGAAAGUUUCGGCGGUUGGGGAUGGACUCGCGGCUUAUCAGCUUGUUGGUGGGGUAGUGGCUUACCAAGGCUUUGACGGGUAGCCGGCCUGAGAGGGUGACCGGCCACAUUGGGACUGAGAUACGGCCCAGACUCCUACGGGAGGCAGCAGUGGGGAAUAUUGCACAAUGGGCGGAAGCCUGAUGCAGCAACGCCGCGUGCGGGAUGACGGCCUUCGGGUUGUAAACCGCUUUCGCCUGUGACGAAGCGUUAGUGACGGUAAUGGGUAAAGAAGCACCGGCUAACUACGUG
rnacentral:rRNA from 1 species